rnacentral:rRNA from 1 species
GACGUAGGGCGCGAGCGUUGUCCGGAUUUAUUGGGCGUAAAGAGCGUGUAGGCGGUCAGGUAGGUCCGUUGUGAAAACUCGAGGCUCAACCUCGAGACGCCGAUGGAAACCAUCUGACUAGAGUCCGGAAGAGGAGAGUGGAAUUCCUGGUGUAGCGGUGAAAUGCGCAGAUAUCAGGAAGAACACCCGUGGCUAAGGCGGCUCUCUAGUACGGUACUGACGCUGAGACGCGAAAGCGUGGGGAGCGAGCAGG